rnacentral:rRNA from 1 species
CGCCGCUCCUCGCUCCGCUGCCUCCUCUCCUCGCCGGCCGUCUCCGCGGCCUGCCUCCUCUUCGGCCUCGCCGGGUUCCUCGCCGCCGCGGUCUCCCUCUCCCGGGCGCCCGUCGAGGCCCCGCGAGGCCGCUGCCCAGACUCCUCGCACCCACUCUCCGUCUCCGUCGCUUGGGACCGGCGCCCCGGGGAUGCCGCGGGCGGCGCCACCGACCUCCCGGCGGGCCUCGCCACCGGAUCGUGCGGCAGGCACAAGGUCAUGGCCUUCGUCAGGAUCUUCACCGGGUUCGGCUCCGUCGGCCGCCGCCGCGCGCUCAGGCGGACGUGGCUCCCCUCCGAUCGGCAGGGUCUCCUUCGGUUGGAGGAAGCUACUGGUCUGGCAUUCAGAUUUGUGAUCGGCAAAAGCAAUGACAAGUCUAAGAUGGCAGCUCUUGAAAGAGAGGUUGAAGAAUAUGAUGAUUUUGUGCUUUUAGAUCUUGAGGAGGAGUAUAGCAGGCUUCCAUACAAAACGUUAGCAUUCUUUAAGGCUGCCUAUGCGUUGUUCGAUUCUGAUUUCUAUGUUAAAGCUGAUGAUGACAUUUGCGAACGCUCACCUGGGCAAUUAUACUGUGUAGCACUCGUCGCUGCCUGCUUAUUGUUUUGAUUGUUCUCUUUUGAUGAACGCAGGUAUGAGCCACAGUCCUUCCUACUUGGAUCAGAAUACUUCCUUCAUGCAUAUGGGCCUAUUUAUGCUUUAUUAGCUGAUGUGGUGGCAAGCUUAGUUGCUCUGAGAAACAACAGGUAA